UACGUAGGUGGCAAGCGUUGUCCGGAUUUACUGGGCGUAAAGAGCGCGCAGGCGGUCGGAUAAGUCGAAUGUGAAAGCCCCCGGCUCAACUGGGGAGGGUCAUUCGAUACUGUUCGACUCGAAGGCAGGAGAGGGAAGUGGAAUUCCCGGUGUAGUGGUGAAAUGCGUAGAUAUCGGGAGGAACACCAGUGGCGAAGGCGACUUCCUGGCCUGUUCUUGACGCUGAGGCGCGAAAGCGUGGGGAGCGAACAGG
rnacentral:rRNA from 1 species